AUCUUGCUAACGAGUCCCAAAUAGGACGAAAAGCGCAUCCUGGAU
rnacentral:hammerhead_ribozyme from 1 species